ensembl:lncRNA
AAUCAACAGUAAACCAUUGUUCAAUCAACAGUAAACCAUUGUUCAAUCAACAGUAAACCAUUGUUCAAUCAACAGUAAACCAUUGUUCAAUCAAUCAACAGUAAACCAUUGUUCAAUCAAUCAACAGUAAACCAUUGUUCAAUCAAUAAACAGUAAACUAUUGUUCAAUCAAUCGUAAACCAUUGUUCAAUCAAUCAACAGUAAACUAUUGUUCAAUCAACAGUAAACUAUUGUUCAAUCAAUCAACAGUAAACCAUUGUUCCAUCUCAGGAUCUUGACACUGUCUCUAUUCCAAAAAUAAUGGAUAGGAGGGUGCUGUUCCCAGGUCAGGGAGGGGGCAAACACACUGUCUAGUCCUAAUAUAAUGGAUAGGAGGGUGCUGUACCCAGGUCAGGGAGGGGGCAAACACACUGUCUAGUCCUAAUAUAAUGGAUAGGAGGGUGCUGUACCCAGGUCAGGGAGGGGGCAAACACACUGUCUAGUCCUAAUAUAAUGGAUAGGAGGGUGCUGUUCCCAGGUCAGAGGAGAAGAAAAUAAAUACGAACAAGUGUACAUUGUAAUUAAUCAAUGAAUGAAUCGGUCAAUCAAUGAAUGAAUAAAUAAAUACACCCCCCGAAGUGCUCUCCUCACAUAUCAACACGGUCUCCAGUGAGGCAGUACAUUGAGAGCAAUACAUUCCUAGGCACCAGGGCAAUAAUACAUUGAGUGAAACAGUAGGAUAAGUAAAGGUUGGACUACGGUGUCUAAAUCCCCUCACUGUGUUUGUUUUGGUGCAGGGGUUAUGUUUCAGCAGUGGGCAUGAAUAAGGAGGUGACGGUUCACAUUCUUCUAUCGGGGGGGGCGCUUUCUUUAUUAGGUAUCCUAAUAUAUGUCUGAGUUCUCUUGUUCUCUUCACGGUAUCAACAUUGUAAACGUUAAGUUCUGUGACUCCCCAGGCCUGAAGAUUAGUUUUAAAAAAAAAAUAUGAUUCUAGAAUAGUCUUGACACCUAUUUCAUCCCUACUCGGGUAGCAUUACAAAGGGUUGUGGGAAAAUCAAUAACUACCUUGAAGUUCUCACUUUGAGUUUUUUUUUUUUUCUUCUCUUCUCCCUGGGACUCUCUUCUGACAUCAGGGAUUCAAAGGUGUUUCACUGUGCCUUUGUAAGCCCACUAUGGAGAGCUGUUGCUCCAGCUAUUGAAGGUAUGUUCUGAUGCUAGCUCACUUGGCUCCAACUUGGACUAGUAUUUGGCUCAUUUAGGUGGGUCAGGAUGGAAUGUUUCACCCGUAUUCACAAGGGUAGUGCUUCUCAAUUUUUUUGGGAGACGGGUGAGGAACAUAUUCACAAAUGUUUAACUCUACACUAACCGUCAAGACACAGCACACUCCAAACAUUAUGAAGAUUAUGGUCAUUUGUACUCAUGUUUACAGUGUUUUGUAAGACUACAAGACUAGAUUUUCCACUACCCGCCAAACACAUACAUGUUCUUUUAAGAAGUGCAUUGUCUCACACGAAAAAUACAUUUCAAAAUAAAAGUAGUGUUCUGAUCACUGGUUAACCACAAUACCAGCACACCCACGUCGUCCUGGUUCUGAAAACAAGACCAGAUUGUUUCGGUAGUAGUAACCUUUUAAACACAGGCGGCAUAGAAGUCCAUUUUUUUUUAAAAUCAUGGUUGGGAGUGGACACAUCAUACAUCAUAUGACACGAUUUGAAUGACAACGGAGCAGUCGUUGAGUCAUUUGGAGGAACGUAUAUAUUUACAAUGAAGUGUUUGACCAUCAUAAUGAACCUGCAAGGUCUACAAGUGCAAAUUCGUAUUGAUCUUCUUUGUUUUUUUAAACUUGACAGGGAUGUGUAAGUGUUCACCGCCAUUACCAGAUACGAGGGUAUCCUGGUCCCAGACAGGCCUCUGUGCUCUUGUCAACUUCAUUGCUGUCAAACGGCAUGACUAUGAGCGACGGGGAGAUGGCAUGAUAGCACAAACACACUGGCUAGGACAAGGGUAGUCUUUGAACUAUUUUAUGAUGCUUUAAAUACAGAACACAAACAAUAGUCAUAGACUAUCCAAAUAAAUGGAAAUACAUGGUCUAGAUGCUCUACAGAUGGUCAUACAAUCAACAGACUGUUGAUAAGCAACUGCUUGCUAAGGUUACGGUUAGGGUAGGGGUUGGGGUAGGGGUUAGGGUAGGGGUAGGGGUUAGGGUAGGGUAGGGGUUAGGGUAGGGGUUAGGGUAGGGGUUAGGGUUUAGGGUAGGGGUUAGGGUAGGGUAGGGGUUAGGGUAGGGGUUAGGGUAGGGUAGGGGUUAGGGUAGGGGGUAGGGGUUAGGGUAGGGGUAGGUUAGGGGUGGG